GAUGAACGCUGGCGGCGUGCCUAAUACAUGCAAGUCGAGCGAACGGACGAGAAGCUUGCUUCUCUGAUGUUAGCGGCGGACGGGUGAGUAACACGUGGAUAACCUACCUAUAAGACUGGGAUAACUUCGGGAAACCGGAGCUAAUACCGGAUAAUAUUUUGAACCGCAUGGUUCAAAAGUGAAAGACGGUCUUGCUGUCACUUAUAGACGGAUCCGCGCUGCAUUAGCUAGUUGGUAAGGUAACGGCUUACCAAGGCAACGAUGCAUAGCCGACCUGAGAGGGUGAUCGGCCACACUGGAACUGAGACACGGUCCAGACUCCUACGGGAGGCAGCAGUAGGGAAUCUUCCGCAAUGGGCGAGAGCCUGACGGAGCAACGCCGCGUGAGUGAUGAAGGUCUUCGGAUCGUAAAACUCUGUUAUUAGGGAAGAACAUAUGUGUAAGUAACUGUGCACAUCUUGACGGUACCUAAUCAGAAAGCCACGGCUAACUACGUG
rnacentral:rRNA from 1 species